CGGAGUGUAGCGCAGCUUGGUAGCGCGCGUGCUUUGGGAGCACGAUGUCGGGGGUUCAAAUCCCUUCACUCCGACCA
rnacentral:tRNA from 1 species